rnacentral:rRNA from 1 species
UACGAAGGGGGCUAGCGUUGUCCGGAAUUAUUGGGCGUAAAGAGCUCGUAGGCGGUCUGUUGCGUCCGCUGUGAAAACUCGGGGCUUAACCCCGAGCCUGCAGUGGAUACGGGCAGACUAGAGGUAGGUAGGGGAGAAUGGAAUUCCCGGUGUAGCGGUGAAAUGCGCAGAUAUCGGGAGGAACACCGGUGGCGAAGGCGGUUCUCUGG